rnacentral:lncRNA from 1 species
AAGUGCUAUACGCCAGUCUGGGCCUCGUCCAACUCUUCGCCAUCUGGCUCCAACUGGUAAUGCUCCGGCCUCUCGUGGCCUCCCUACUACCACUCAGAGAGUCGGUGAGCAAACUGGCCUUUAGAAGUGUGGCCUGGGGAGGAGGGAGUCAGGAUGACUAGGCUCUGUCCUGGGUUGGUCAGUUUGUUGGGCUCGAAUUUAUCGAGUCCUGGUUCUGUAAUCUUAGCUGUGUGCUUAGGUGGCCACUUCAGGAGCAGAGAAACAGUAUGAGUUCUAGGUGUGUCAGUUGCUUUUAACAUUCUUUGCUCAUCGGUGACCUAUGUGAAAAAGGUUAGUUGUAGAAGUUUGCUAGCUGGAUGACCACAGAGGCAGCUUGUUCUUUUGGGUGGGGUGAGGAAUACAAGGAAACAGUGUAUACAGAAUAUGUCUUGUAUUCCAAGAUGUGGAAAGAGUUGUAUGUUAUCCUUUGGCUCAUCCUCGAAAGUAGUAGUGGCCCCCUGUGCAAUGUGUUGCGUAAACGUGCUUUGAAAUUUCUCCUUCCGUGGGACGUGGCCAGUUGGACAUCUGCCGCCAACACUGAUGUGCAUUUGCUGGUCUGUUGUAGGGUCUGAGUGCCCGGACCGCUUGGCUAUGGACUUUGGUGGGGCUGGUGCCGCCCAGCAAGGGCUGACUGACAGCUGCCAGUCUGGAGGUGGUAUUGGAUGCACACAGAAGGGGGAAAGAUGGGAUUUGACGGGUCUUUGCCCAGACUGAUGGGCUUUAAUUGUAUUUGUUCUUUCCCUAAGGCGUUCCCACAGCUGUGCAGAACUUAGCGCCACGCGCUGCUGUUGCUGCUGCUGCUCCCCGGGCUGUUGCCCCCUACAAAUACGCCUCCAGUGUCCGCAGCCCUCAUCCUGCCAUACAGCCUCUGCAGGUGAGGUUCACCAGACAGAAUGCUUAAAAGGAUUUCCCCCAUUUCCACUUGAUGUAAAAGAAGCUGUGCUUUUGAUUCCUUCAACAGGUAUUAAAUGCCUGCUCUGUGUUAUGACGCUAUGUUCUGAUUCACUGUCCCUGCCCUUCAGGGGCUCACUAGUGGGAAAGAAGGGGCUUAAAAGUGCUCUGCCUGAUGCCAGUUCACUCAGAAAUGCCUCAGAGCGGGCAGCCAGUGCUUCCUCUUCUGUUUGUACGAAAUAAUGUGCUCAUUCAGCUGUUUGAGCCUCCAGGUCACUUCCGCAUCCAAUGACCUAUUGGAUCCUUGGCUGCUCUGCAAGAUGAUUGGUACAUUAAUGCAGGAAAUAACUUCAACUUACAGAUCGGAUGUUCAGCUUCAAAGAUGUAAAGUGUGUGUAGGAGGUGAAGGGGUUGAACCUAGAGCUUAGAUUUUCUAAGCUGUAACUUGCUGUCUCUAGACCUGUGCUCUAGAUGCAACUAGUUUGUUUCAGAGCCUAAUAGCAAUUUGCUGUGGAGGUGUCACCCUAAGCCUUCAGGCCCAUAAGCUGCUUAGGAGAUUACUCUUUAACUGUCCUGUCUCAUACUCUCUAAGUUGGGGAUUUCCUAGAACUUGAUGCUAUGUAAAAUACCUUUUCUUUGCAAGGCUUUGACUAGCAUUGACGUUGCAUGUUGACCGUUUUUAAGCAUUUGAUACAAAAACAUUUGGUAGAAUUAAGGUGAUGUGGAAUGUAAUUAUAAAUGUGUUGAUAUUUACUCCCUUUGAUCCAAUCUGCACUGAGAUUUACCCUAAAGGAAAACUAAUUUUCAGGAAAAGGUUAUAUACAAGUGUUUACCCUUAUUUAUAUCAAGGCUUUUCAUUCUUGAGUAACUUUGGGUGUAUUAAGGAAAUGUCAGAAAAUGCUUGCCUAGCACUAUAGGUUUGUUUUAUUAUUUACGUUUCACUUCGCUUUCUGAUAGCAUGCCAUUUUCAUUGUAAUUGGUUGUGUUUAUGUCCAUACCACUCUGUUCCUCAACACACCCCUCAAUCCUUCAAGGACUGAAAUUAGUUCCUUUAGAGCAAGGACAGCCACCUCCUCUCCUCUUUCACAUAGUCAGAUGUUCAGAUAUUGAACAGGCACUCAACCACCAUCAGGUGUUGUCCUUUCCUCAGUGCUAACCCACUGCCUUUCCUGGUUCCCAGGCACCCCAGCCUGCGGUCCAUGUGCAGGGGCAGGAGCCACUGACUGCCUCCAUGCUGGCUGCAGCACCCCCCCAGGAACAGAAGCAGAUGCUGGGAGAACGCUUGUUCCCACUCAUCCAAACAAUGCAUUCAAAUCUGGCUGGGAAGAUCACGGGAAUGCUGCUGGAGAUAGACAACUCUGAGCUGCUGCACAUGUUAGAGUCCCCCGAGUCUCUCCGCUCCAAGGUGAGCUGGGGCUCAGACCCUGCAGCUUCAGUUCUCAGCUUGGGAAGACUGGGGGCAAACUUGGAUGCCCAGGUGCAGCAGAAAGUGGGAUCUGCUGCCCCCAGGACCCCUCUCGUCAUGCCUUGACUGUGACUGGAGGCUGCAGUGGGUAUUUGGGAAAGUAGUUAGCACCAGAAGCCUAGGGAUCAUCUGUACAGUUGGCUUUGGUCCACCACUAGGUCUGGGCACUGGGGAGGGGUGGAGUAGCUCUCCUAGAUUCACUGACCACCUGAAGAUUUCUCGCAGGUGGAUGAAGCUGUAGCAGUUCUACAGGCUCAUCAUGCCAAGAAAGAAGCUGCCCAGAAGGUGGGCGCUGUUGCUGCUGCUACCUCUUAGACAAGGAAAAACCGUAUGUGUGGCUAUUUUCAUUUUUGUUCCUAUGAGCAUUGUUCCUAUGAGCAUUGUCUUUGUGGUUUGACCUGAGGUUGUAUAUAUGCUCACUGCUUAGCUCUGGGAAUACAAUAAGUACAGUUAGUUACACGGAGUGUGUUGCAGGUGACUUCUUAUCAUGAGGACUGUGGACUUUGUCUGCAGGAGCUUGAGUGAAUAAUAAAACUAGUACUGGUUGAUGGUUGUAGGUGUCUCCAGAUAGGGAAAGAAGAGACAGUAAAAUAAGCUAAGGAAAAAGCACAUGGUAAGGACCAGAGCUGGUGUGUUGGGAGGGUUGACUUGGCAUAGUCAUGACCCUCUUGUCAAGGGCCUCAGGAGCCUUGUCAUCUAGUGGUAAAGACCAGAGAUGCUGCUAAAUGUUGUACAGUACACAGGAGGACAGACCCAACAGAAUGUCCAAAGUGUCAAUAGCACUGAGGUUGAGAAACUCUCUUCUAGAAUACCUUCCUUUAUCCACUAUAUGUUAAUGAAUCUAAAUUAUUUGAUUAUGCAUUUAUUUGUGUUGGUGCUUUUCUUUACAGGAUUCAAAAGCCAAAUAACCCCUUAUGGAAUUCAACUCAAGGUUUGAAGACUUCCUAGCUUGUCCUAUGGACCUCAACACCAAGGAUUACAAAUUGCAAAUUUAAUAGGUCAUUUUGUAUCAAAAGGUCAAUUAUGAAGCACCUAGAAUUUUUCAAUUAUACGAAUAUGUUCUUUGGGUUCUGCUGUGGCCCAGACAGUGUUAACUUUUUUUUUAUUGUGGGUUUUGAUUUUUUCCCCCAGAAAUUGGUUUUAUUUGAUGUACCCAAGUCUUACGUUUCCCAAUAAAGAAAAAAAAUCUCCAUAAAA